GAUGAACGCUAGCGACAGGCUUAACACAUGCAAGUCGAGGGGCAGCAUAGAAGUAGCAAUACUUUGGUGGCGACCGGCGCACGGGUGAGUAACGCGUAUGCAACCUACCUAUCAGAGGGGAAUAACCCGGCGAAAGUCGGACUAAUACCGCAUAAAACAGGGGCACCGCAUGGUGAUAUUUGUUAAAGAAAUUCGCUGAUAGAUGGGCAUGCGUUCCAUUAGGUAGUUGGUGAGGUAACGGUUCACCAAGCCGACGAUGGAUAGGGGAACUGAGAGGUUGGUCCCCCACACUGGUACUGAGACACGGACCAGACUCCUACGGGAGGCAGCAGUGAGGAAUAUUGGUCAAUGGGCGAGAGCCUGAACCAGCCAAGUCGCGUGAAGGAAGAAGGAUCUAUGGUUCGUAAACUUCUUUUGCAGGGGAAUAAAGUGCAGGACGUGUCCUGUUUUGUAUGUACCCUGAGAAUAAGGAUCGGCUAACUCCGUGCCAGCAGCCGCGGUAA
rnacentral:rRNA from 1 species